rnacentral:rRNA from 1 species
GCUUACCAUGCAAGUUCGAGCGCCCUGCUUGCAGGGAGCGGCAGACGGGUGAGUACCCCGUGGGAACGUGCCUAUUGGUUCGGAAUAGCCCUGGGAAACUGGGUGUAAUACCGAAUGUGCCCUUCGGGGGAAAGAUUUAUCGCCAAUAGAUCGGCCCGCGUUAGAUUAGCUAGUUGGUGGGGUAAAAGCCUACCAAGGCUACGAUCUAUAGCUGGUCUGAGAGGAUGAUCAGCCACACUGGGACUGAGACACGGCCCAGACUCCUACGGGAGGCAGCAGUGAGGAAUCUUGGACAAUGGGCGAAAGCCUGAUCCAGCCAUGCCGCGUGAAUGAUGAAGGCCUUAGGGUUGUAAAAUUCUUUCAGCAGGGAAGAUAAUGACGGUACCUGCAGAAGAAGCCCCGGCUAACUCCGUGCCAGCAGCCGCGGUAAUACGGAGGGGGCUAGCGUUGUUCGGAAUUACUGGGCGUAAAGCGCUCGUAGGCGGAUUGGUCAGUCAGAGGUGAAAGCCCAGGGCUCAACCUUGGAAUUGCCUUUGAUACUGCCAGUCUUGAGUUCGGGAGAGGUGAGCGGAAUUCCGAGUGUAGAGGUGAAAUUCGUAGAUAUUCGGAGGA